GAUGAACGCUGGCGGCGUGCCUAAUACAUGCAAGUCGAGCGAACAGACGAUGAGCUUGCUCCUUUGACGUUAGCGGCGGACGGGUGAGUAACACGUGGAUAACCUACUUAUAUGUCUGGGAUAAUUACGGGAAACCGGAUCUAAUACCAGAGAAUAUAUUGAACCGCAUGGAUCAAUAGUUAAUGACGGCUUUGCCGUCACAUAUAGACGGAUCCGGGCUGCAUUAGCUAGUUGGUAAGGUAACGGCCUACCAAGGCAACGAUGCGUAGCCGACCGGAGAGGGUGAUCGGCCACACUGGAACUUGGACCCCGUCCAGACUCCUACGGGAGGCCGCAGUUGGGAAUUUUCCGCAAUUGGCGGAAGCUUGACGGAACCACGCCGGGUGAGUUAUGAAAGUCUUCGGAGCGGAAAACUCUGUUUUUAGGGAAGAACAAAUGUGUGAGUAACUCUGCACGGCUUGACGGUACCUAAUAAGAAAGCCACGGCUAACUACGUG
rnacentral:rRNA from 1 species